rnacentral:misc_RNA from 1 species
GAUGAAGAACGCAGCGAAAUGCGAUAAGUAAUGUGAAUUGCAGAAUUCAGAGAAUCAUCGAAUCUUUGAACGCACAUUGCGCCCGCCAGUAUUCUGGCGGGCAUGCCUGUUCGAGCGUCAUUUCAACCAUCAAGCCCCCGGGCUUGUGUUGGGGACCUGCGGCUGCCGCAGGCCCUGAAAAGCAGUGGCGGGCUCGCUGUCACACCGAGCGUAGUAGAUUUUAUCUCGCUCUGGGCGUGCUGCGGGUUCCGGCCGUUAAACCACCCUUUUAACCCAAGGUUGACCUCGGAUCAGGUAGGAAGACCCGCUGAACUUAAGCAUAUCAAUAAGCGGAGGA